UACAGAGGGUGCUAGCGUUGUUCGGAAUCAUUGGGCGUAAAGGGCGUGUAGGCGGUUUGUUAAGUCAUGUGUGAAAUCCCUCGGCUCAACCGGGGAACGACGCAUGAAACUGGCAAGCUAGAGUACCAAAGAGGAGAGUGGAAUUCCUGGUGUAGCGGUGAAAUGCGCAGAUAUCAGGAGGAACACCGGUGGCGAAGGCGGGUCUCUGGGCCGAUACUGACGCUGAGGAGCGAAAGCGUGGGGAGCAAACAGG
rnacentral:rRNA from 1 species